UACGUAGGGGGCAAGCGUUGUCCGGAAUCAUUGGGCGUAAAGCGCGCGUAGGCGGCCCUGUAAGUCCGUUGUGAAAGUCGAAGGCUCAACCUUCGAAAGCCGAUGGAUACUGCAGGGCUAGAGUCCGGAAGAGGCGAGUGGGAAUUCCUGGUGUAGCGGUGGAAUGCGCAGAUAUCAGGAGGAACACCAAUAGCGAAGGCAGCUCGCUGGGACGGUACUGACGCUAAGGCGCGAAGGCCAGGGGAGCAAACGGG
rnacentral:rRNA from 1 species